CGAACCGCCGGUUUGGGAGAGCCAGGCGGUUUAACGAACCGCAAUCGGCUUUGGGAGAGGCAGGUCGCGGUUCUUCAAGGGGAGAACUGCGAUGGAGAAUACUCUUCUCGUCGCGCUGUCGCGCCAGAUGGUGCUUG
rfam:Afipia sp. 64-13 SCNpilot_expt_1000_bf_scaffold_486, whole genome shotgun sequence.